UACGAAGGGGGCUAGCGUUGCUCGGAAUCACUGGGCGUAAAGGGUGCGUAGGCGGUGCUUUAAGUCAGGGGUGAAAUCCUGGAGCUCAACUCCAGAACUGCCUUUGAUACUGAAGAUCUUGAGUCCGGGAGAGGUGAGUGGAACUGCGAGUGUAGAGGUGAAAUGCGCAGAUAUCAGGAAGAACACCCGUGGCGAAGGCGGUUCUCUGGGACGGUACUGACGCUGAGACGCGAAAGCGUGGGGAGCGAACAGG
rnacentral:rRNA from 1 species